UACGAAGGGGGCGAGCGUUGUUCGGAUUUACUGGGCGUAAAGGGCGCGCAGGCGGCUAUCCAAGUCAGGCGUGAAAGCCCCGGGCUUAACCUGGGAGGUGCGUCUGGGACUGGGUGGCUAGAGUUCGGGAGAGGAGAGUGGAAUUCCCAGUGUAGAGGUGAAAUUCGUAGAUAUUGGGAAGAACACCGAUGGCGAAGGCAGCCUUCUGGGCCAACACUGACGCUCAUGCACGAAAGCGUGGGGAGCAAACAGG
rnacentral:rRNA from 1 species